rnacentral:rRNA from 1 species
UGAGGGAAUAUUGGGUCAAUGGGGCGGAAGCCUGAACCAGCCAUGCCGCGUGAAGGAAUAAGGCCCUAUGGGUCGUAAACUUCUUUUGGCGGGGAGCAAUAAGGUCUACGUGUAGACCGAUGAGAGUACUCGUUGAAUAAGCAUCGGCUAACUCCGUGCCAGCAGCCGCGGUAAUACGGAGGAUGCGAGCGUUAUCCGGAUUUAUUGGGUUUAAAGGGUGCGUAGGCGGACGAUUAAGUCAGCGGUGAAAGCGUGUGGCUCAACCAUACCACUGCCGUUGAUACUGGUUGUCUUGAGUGUAAACGAGGUAGGCGGAAUGUGAUGUGUAGCGGUGAAAUGCUUAGAUAUGUCACAGAACCCCGAUUGCGAAGGCAGCUUACCAGGAUACAACUGACGCUGAGGCACGAAAG